rnacentral:rRNA from 1 species
GCGGCGGACGGGUGAGUAAUGCCUAGGAAUCUGCCUGGUAGUGGGGGAUAACGUUCGGAAACGGACGCUAAUACCGCAUACGUCCUACGGGAGAAAGCAGGGGACCUUCGGGCCUUGCGCUAUCAGAUGAGCCUAGGUCGGAUUAGCUAGUUGGUGAGGUAAUGGCUCACCAAGGCGACGAUCCGUAACUGGUCUGAGAGGAUGAUCAGUCACACUGGAACUGAGACACGGUCCAGACUCCUACGGGAGGCAGCAGUGGGGAAUAUUGGACAAUGGGCGAAAGCCUGAUCCAGCCAUGCCGCGUGUGUGAAGAAGGUCUUCGGAUUGUAAAGCACUUUAAGUUGGGAGGAAGGGCAGUUACCUAAUACGUGAUUGUUUUGACGUUACCGACAGAAUAAGCACCGGCUAACUCUGUG